GACGAACGCUGGCGGCGUGCCUAAUACAUGCAAGUCGAGCGAAUCACUGGGUGCUUGCUCCCGGUGGUUAGCGGCGGACGGGUGAGUAACACGUGGGCAACCUGCCUGUAAGAAUGGGAUAACACCGGGAACCCGGUGCUAAUACCGGAUAAUUCUUUUCUGCACAUGCAGGCAAGCUGAAAGUCGGUUUCGGCUGACACUUACAGAUGGGCCCGCGGCCGAUUAGCUAGCUGGUGAGGUAACGGCUCACCAAGGCGACGAUGCGUAGCCGACGUGAGGGGGUGAUCGGCCACACUGGGACUGAGACACGGCCCGGACUCCUACGGGAGGCAGCGGUAGGGAAUCUUCCACAAUGGACGAAAGUCGGAUGGAGCAACGCCGCGUGGGCGAUGAAGGCCUUCGGGUCGUAAAGCUCUGUUGUUAGGGAAGAACAAGUACCGGAGUAACUGCCGGUACCUUGACGGUACCUAACCAGAAAGCCACGGCUAACUACGUGCCAGCAGCCGCGGUAA
rnacentral:rRNA from 1 species